AGUGAACGCUGGCGGUAGGCCUAACACAUGCAAGUCGAACGGCAGCACAGUAAGAGCUUGCUCUUACGGGUGGCGAGUGGCGGACGGGUGAGGAAUACAUCGGAAUCUACUUUUUCGUGGGGGAUAACGUAGGGAAACUUACGCUAAUACCGCAUACGACCUACGGGUGAAAGCAGGGGAUCAUCGGACCUUGCGCGAUUGAAUGAGCCGAUGUCGGAUUAGCUAGUUGGCGGGGUAAAGGCCCACCAAGGCGACGAUCCGUAGCUGGUCUGAGAGGAUGAUCAGCCCCACUGGAACUGAGACACGGUCCAGACUCCUACGGGAGGCAGCAGUGGGGAAUAUUGGACAAUGGGCGCAAGCCUGAUCCAGCCAUACCGCGUGGGUGAAGAAGGCCUUCGGGUUGUAAAGCCCUUUUGUUGGGAAAGAAAAGCAGCAGGUUAAUACCCCGCUGUUCUGACGGUACCCAAAGAAUAAGCACCGGCUAACUUCGUG
rnacentral:rRNA from 1 species